rnacentral:rRNA from 1 species
GCAGAGAACUUUCCAGAGAUGGAUUGGUGGCCUUCGGGAACUCUGACACAGGUGCUGCAUGGCUGUCGUCAGCUCGUGUCGUGAGAUGUUGGGUUAAGUCCCGUAACGAGCGCAACCCUUGUCCUUAGUUACCAGCACGUUAUGGUGGGCACUCUAAGGAGACUGCCGGUGCAAACCGGAGGAAGGUGGGGAUGACGUCAAGUCAUCGUGGCCCUUACGGCCUGGGCUACACACGUGCUACAAUGGUCGGUACAAAGGGUUGCCAAGCCGCGAGGUGGAGCUAAUCCCAUAAAACCGAUCGUAGUCCGGAUCGCAGUCUGCAACUCGACUGCGUGAAGUCGGAAUCGCUAGUAAUCGUGAAUCAGAAUGUCACGGUGAAUACGUUCCCGGGCCUU